CCUUGUCCCCCAUCUCUGGGGCGUUCACCAGGAAUUCCGCUAGUUCUGAACUAUUUACACUUGAAAAAAGUUCACUACUAGCAGAACUCGGGUGCGCGCCCCCCAACAUCGCAGUGGGGCA
rnacentral:precursor_RNA from 15 species